rnacentral:rRNA from 1 species
CCUACGGGGGGCAGCAGUGGGGAAUAUUGGGCAAUGGAGGAAACUCUGACCCAGCAACGCCGCGUGAAUGAUGAAGGUCUUCGGAUUGUAAAGCUCUUUUCUAAGGGAAGAAGAAAGUGACGGUACCUUAGGAAUAAGCCUCGGCUAACUACGUGCCAGCAGCCGCGGUAAUACGGAGGAGGCAAGCGUUAUCCGGAAUGACGGGGCGUAAGGGGUGCGUAGGUGGUUUGUUAAGUUGGUAGUGUAAUUCCGAGGCUCAACAGCGGAACUACUACCAAAACUGUCAGACUUGAGUGCAGGGGGGGCAACUGGAAUUCCUGGUGUAGCGGUGAAAUGCGUAGAUAUUAGGAAGAACACCGGUGGCGAAGGCGAGUUGCUGGACUGUAACUGACACUGAGGCACGAAAGCGUGGGGAGCAAACAGGAUUAGAUACCCCAGUAGUC